rnacentral:rRNA from 1 species
UAGAGUUUUAUCAUGGCUCAGAUUGAACGCUGGCGGCAGGCUUAACACAUGCAAGUCGAGCGGUAACAGGGGAGCUUGCUCCUGCUGACGAGCGGCGGACGGGUGAGUAACGCGUAGGAAUCUGCCUAGUAGAGGGGGACAACAUGUGGAAACGCAUGCUAAUACCGCAUACGCCCUGAGGGGGAAAGGAGGGGAUCACUUGUGACCUUCCGCUAUUAGAUGAGCCUGCGUGAGAUUAGCUAGUUGGUAGGGUAAAGGCCUACCAAGGCGACGAUCUCUAACUGGUCUGAGAGGAUGACCAGUCACACUGGGACUGAGACACGGCCCAGACUCCUACGGGAGGCAGCAGUGGGGAAUAUUGGACAAUGGGCGCAAGCCUGAUCCAGCCAUGCCGCGUGUGUGAAGAAGGCCUUAGGGUUGUAAAGCACUUUCAGGGGUGAGGAAGGGUUAUUUGUUAAUACCAAGUAACUUUGACGUUAGCCCCAGAAGAAGCACCGGCUAACUCUGUGCCAGCAGCCGCGGUAAUACAGAGGGUGCAAGCGUUAAUCGGAAUUACUGGGCGUAAAGCGCGCGUAGGUGGUUUGUUAAGUCUGAUGUGAAAUCCCAGGGCUCAACCUUGGAAUGGCACCGGAUACUGGCAUGCUAGAGUACGGUAGAGGGGUGUGGAAUUUCCUGUGUAGCGGUGAAAUGCGUAGAUAUAGGAAGGAACAUCAGUGGCGAAGGCGACACCCC